GACGAACGCUGGCGGCGUGCUUAACACAUGCAAGUCGAACGGAAAGGCCCUGCUUUUGUGGGGUGCUCGAGUGGCGAACGGGUGAGUAACACGUGAGUAACCUGCCCUUGACUUUGGGAUAACUUCAGGAAACUGGGGCUAAUACCGGAUAGGAGCUCCUGCUGCAUGGUGGGGGUUGGAAAGUUUCGGCGGUUGGGGAUGGACUCGCGGCUUAUCAGCUUGUUGGUGGGGUAGUGGCUUACCAAGGCUUUGACGGGUAGCCGGCCUGAGAGGGUGACCGGCCCAAUGGGGACUGAGAUACGGCCCAGCCUCCUACGGGGGGCAGCAGUGGGGAAUUGUGCACAAUGGGCGGAAGCCUGAUGCAGCAACGCCGGGGGCGGGAUGACGGCCUUGGGGUUGUAAACCGCUUUCGCCUGUGACGAAGCGUGAGUGGCGGUAAUGGGUAAAGAAGCACCGGCUAACUACGU
rnacentral:rRNA from 1 species